AGAACCACCGUGGCCCUGAUG
rnacentral:miRNA from 1 species